GUACUGCUGAUGAGUCCCACAAUAGGACGAAAUGGACUUCCAGUGC
rfam:Schistosoma mattheei strain Denwood, Zambia genome assembly, scaffold: SMTD_scaffold0000135